rnacentral:rRNA from 1 species
AUCAGAAUGCCACGGUGAAUACGUUCCCGGGCCUUGUACACACCGCCCGUCACACCAUGGGAGUGGGCUGCAAAAGAAGUAGGUAGUUUAACCUUCGGGGGGACGCUUACCACUUUGUGGUUCAUGACUGGGGUGAAGUCGUAACAAGGUAGCGCUAGGGGAACCUGGCGCUGGAUCACCUCCUUAAACGAUGAU